CGUUUUAUUUAGGCAUACACAUACGCCACACGGACCUUAGAAAAUGAGUUGGAUAAAGCGUAUAACACAACAUAUGCUCCCACCACUGUCUUCUGGGAAAUGCAACAAAAACCAAGGUCACUUCCAAGGUUAAUAUGGCAACAUUUCUGGUAUUUUCACUUGGCGUUGAGAAGUGGCAAAGUUUUGCAUUGGCAGUAUUUUCACUUUCUCUUCUAUAUGUUAGAGUUCUGAUGACAGAGAUUCAUAUUUAUUAAAUUGAAAGCUCUCAUCCCUUUCUAUUAGAACUAAGUUCAUAUAACUCCUUCAAAACAAAAAUUCUUGCUUUCGUAGGUGCUCAUGAAUUUACUCUCCAGAGAUGUGGAAUUUAGCUUUGACAGAGUUACUAGCAACAACCUUCCAUGUGUUCAUGAUGAAACAUAUCCAACAACUCUUUUUUGGUGCCAAUCGUGGUUGUUUGAUUAUAAUUCAAUUCGUGAUUGGAGUCUUGUACACUUUAAACUUAAAAUUGGUUAAGUGUUUGAUACCUUUUUGCUGUUUUCAUGAUAUUUUGUUGGUUUUAAGUUGGAUCUAGGCUCGUGAGUAAUUAUUUUUAGGAGAAUUCAA